rnacentral:lncRNA from 1 species
GAAGCCCUGUAACUUCCUCUCCUACCUCUCUGCUCUCUCUCUACAUUCUCAUCGGCAGACAUUAUCAACAUAUUAGGGUUUUGAAGAGAGAGAGAGAGAGAGGCGGAGGGUAGGUGGGUUCUUUUGUUUCUCAAUUUGAAUUUCCAUUCUCUUUCUCCAAAUUCAUCAGCGCUCUCUCUCUCUUUCUACAUUCUUCAAACUGAAUUCGAAACCGAUAUAUAUAUAAUAUAUAAUAUAUAUAUUAUUAUAGAUAUAGAGAGAGAGAGGGUAAUUAGGGUUUGAGAGAGAGGUGGAAUUGUAUGUUCCUUUGUUUUGUCAAUUGAAUUUCUGUUUUCGUUGUUCAAAUUCUUCGGUGCUCUUUCUCUUUCUACAUUCUUCAAACUGAAUUCUCACAGAUAUACAUAUACGUACCCAUAAUAUACGCACGCGCACACACAUACAAAGAGAGAGAGAGAGAGAGAUUAGGUAUUAGGCGUUGGGACAGAGAAGGUA